GCCCGAGUGGCGGAAUUGGUAGACGCGAUGGACUCAAAAUCCAUUAUCCCUUAAAGAUGUGCCGGUUCGAGUCCGGCCCCGGGCACAA
rnacentral:tRNA from 1 species